ensembl:lncRNA
CAGAGGAUUUCCUUUCCCUCUGACUGUUCACUGGCUUUGUAGUCAUUCCUUAUUAUUGAAGAAUCUGAUGUUAAAUAUUGCAGAGAGGAGAAUAUUUUGAGCGAUUUAGUGAUUGAAACUGAACCCAGGCCACUGCUCAUAAUCAGCAUAUACUCUACCACUAGGUUAUAUCCCCAGACCCUGAAAAGAAAAAAAUACCAAAUUUAAUAGGAAAACUCAUAUGGUUUCCUAUGUGCCUUUCUAAAACUCUGUGAAACACCUGAUGCAGUGCACAAUAUGCAUUUCCAUUAAAGUCUUUCAGACUUCACACUGGAAAGGGAAAGAAGUCGGGAGCCCCAGGGAAGGUGAGCACUGAAGCAAUGGGGUCCAGGCUUUUCCAGAUGCAACAGCUGGACCAGUUGCAGAUGAGACCAGGACCUCUGUCCAGGGACCUCAAAACCUCAGGUGCCUUGGGGGAAGGGGGCACUAGGUCCACACCCAGCAGUUACCUAAGCAACAGAGAGAGGUACGCUCCUCAGAGGCUUCAAGGAAGUGACAGAUAUUUUAAAGAAUAAAAAGACCCGAAUGGCAGCUGGAGAGGCUCACAUUUCUGGAUGUCUCUGUAGUAAGGACUGCCAGGAGUCCUGCUGAGCCCUGGAGAGGGGAAAUGAUGUCACAAGAGAGGAACUGAGGAAGACCAUGGAGAAAAAGAGCACAACUGAGCAAGGAGGCUGGAAAGAGAAGGGCUAAGAACACCUUGGGGUUGACAUCUGCACAAGCAAACAGGAACUAUUAGAAAAGCAGGAUGCAUUUUGGAAGAUCAUGACUGUUGCUCUGUGGAAACGGAGGUAGGUAGAGUGGUUUACAAGCUGAGGGGCAAUUUUCAGCUUAGUCAUACUCAGCACUGAGAGCCUAAUUUGGGAGCAGAGAUGUUUUGCUGAGCGUGGCCAUUGUAAUUUUAGAUUUAAUGAUAUGCUGUGAUAACUGUGUCUGAUCGUCAUACCUAGAGCAACCCAGAGAGAAUGAAACUGAACAAGAAGGAUAUUUACUCUUCAUGUCCUGGCUUCUCACUAUCUCUCCCUACCAUCUGUACAAUAUCCACCAGGAGCCCAUGGAGGAUGAAGCAGUCUGCAUUGUAGGGGGACCCUCAUGCCAGUGAAUAAGCAAAAAAAAAAAAAAACAGAGCUAACCAAGGGCUCCUGCAGCCUCUGCUGAGCAGCUACUUACAGUCAACAGGCAAAGGCAUCAGAGAGUUGAGACUGGCAAAGAAACACAGGGCAAGGGGCUGCAGCACAGCUGAGCAAGAACGUUUAAUCCAAAACUGAAUAAGCCAAGUGGGACUGGGAUGAAACUCAUUAAAACAUGGAGGUUACAGAAAAAUGAAUCACAGACUUUUUAGCCUGUUACCUAAUACAGGUGUAAGAACAGAACUGAAUCUGUAGCCAAAGUUGUAUUAAAACAAAAUCUCAUGUAAGCUGUGCUUCAGAUGUUGCAUGUCAUGCCAAAUGUGGUCAGAAGAAACCUGACCUCUCAGCUGAAGAGUUCUAUCAGAGCCGUGGUCCAAAGACCAUCCUCUUGGAUGUAUUCUUCAGGCACCUGUUGGGUUCAGAAAGAGAAGCUACCCAGCUGCCAACAUCACUGGUGGUUCCAGGCAGCCACACACACGGGCCCCCACAUCCUAAAGCACAUAUUUUGGCAGGAAGUCAGCACAGCCUCCCUCCCAGUCCCUGUGGGAUGCACAGGUUGAUGGGAAGCUGCGUAAGGGAUCCCAGUGGCCAGGGGUUUCCUAAGUGUGAUUCCUGAUCAUCAAUGUCACUGGUCCCUGUCCCCUGGAAACUUAGACUUGCACCCCAGUUGGCCCUGGGCUGGCCCCAGAUUGCCCCUCCUAAUCUUUUAACGCUCCCCACUGGUCACAACGGCAAGUUGUAUAAGCAAAAUCCCCAUCUUCCCAUGACUUUUAAUGUCCGCUUCAACGAAUAGUAAGUUUCCUUAUCCAUCUACCCUUUUAAUCUAUGCUUUAUCCUGUGCUAUUGAUCCACUGGCCACUUGCUGUUUUAGUUAUAGUAGUAGAUAGUGUAAUUAAUUACAGCAC